CUCUCCCUCUCCUUCCCUCCCUCUUCCUCUGUGUGCGUCUGCGGAGUGGUGGAGUGGACCUAUGCCUUCUCUCUCUCUCUCUCUCUCUCUCUCUCUCUCUCUCUCUCUCUCUCUGGUUCUAUGUGUGCAGCUGACCCAGCUGUUCCUCUGAGAAGCGGUGGAGCUAUGCCUUCUUAUAGAGGCGGCAACUUAAAAGAGUUAAGGUCAGUUCCACUUCAGCAUCCCCACCACUCCAAACCAUUACUUUGAAGCACAUGGUCAUGGAUGCAUCUUGCUUGUCAUCUUAUCAAAAAGAUCAUAAUCUGGAAGGCUCUGAACUGAAGUAGUUAGUUACAAAGGUACGUUACUUAGCCUAGACUAGCUGUGUGCAUCACAAAAGCGUGAAGGUGAAGAUGAGUCGAUGAGAUGGAAGUUGUGAUUAACGAAAGCAAACCACUUGCACGAGGCUCUGAUUGAAAAUCUGAUCUGUAUUAGGCGGUGCAGUGACAUGCAUACGCUACUAAUCCGUUUCGCUCCCUUUGUGGAUAGGACUGACAUUGCAGCUAGUGGCUGUGCGCGCGUACGUGGGGAUCACGUGCAUUUGCAUUAUAAAAGGCAUUGAGAUCUGGCACGGAAGGAGCGGUCGUUUUCCACGUUGCCGCGUGCUACACUGAUUGGAGCUCGUGAUUAAUCUGAGACUUGAUACGAUUGUCUGGAUUAAUGGGUUUACGUUACUUGAACUGGAUUAUUCUAUAGUCUAUAUGCAACGAGAGAGGUGGUUUGUGUGUUCACUCAAAUUAAUGAGUCAGCUCAUGUGAACUUGCUUUUCACAUUAACAAGCGACCCGACGUUGAGAACUGCGUUUUAUUUCACAUCAGUGUGCUAA